rnacentral:pre_miRNA from 1 species
AGUGGGAUAGCUGGGUCAAAUGAUGGUUCCAUCCCAAGUUUUCUAAGGAAUCUUCAUACCGCUUUUCAGAUUGGUUGCACCAAUUUGCAGUCCCAUCAGCAAU